UGUAAGCCUAAGGUUUCCUGGGCAAGGUCAAUCCGCCCAGGGUUAGUCGGUCCCUAAGGCGAGGCUGAAAGGCGUAGUCGAUGGGAAGCAGGUCAACAUUCCUGCACCACUGUCCGGCGUUUGCACCGUGGGGUGACGGCGUGUGGAUGAAGAUCCGGUUAGUAGAUUCCGGUUCCUGGGAAGGGGCUGCUGAUAGGCAAAUCCGUCAGCGCACCCCCGACUUGGGAGGAGCCCUAGUGGUGAACUCUUCUGAGGUGCGUCCAAGAAAAACCUCGUUCGGAAGUCGAAACAGUGACCGUACCUAAUCUGACACAGGAAGGCAGGGCGAGUAUCCCAAGGCGCUCGAGAGAACCCUCGUUAAGGAAUUCGGCAAAAUGACCCCGUAAGUUCGCGACAAGGGGUGCCACCGCAAGGUGGCCACAGCAAAGGGGCGGGAGCGACUGUUUACUAAAAACACAGGUCUCAGCAAAGUCGAAAAGACGCCGUAUUGAGACUGACGCUUGCCCGCUGCUGGAACGUUAAGGUGACUGGUCAGCGCAAGCGAAGCUGGAAGCCGAAGCGCCAGUGAAGGGCGGCCGUAACUAUGACGGUCCUAAGGUAGCGAAAUUCCUUGUCGGGUAAUUUCCGACCCGCACGAAUAGCGUAACGACUCCCGUACUGUCUCGACGAGGGGCUCGGCGAAAUUGUAACUGUGGUGAAGAUGCCACAUACCUGCACCAAGACGGAAAGACCCCGUGAACCUUCACUACACCCUAAUACUGGCUCUAGGCAUGCCAUGUGUAGCAUAGGUGGGAGACGUUGAUCUGGAGGCGCCAGCUUCCAGGGAGUCAUCAGUGAAAUACCACUCUUGGUAUGUUUGGUGUCUAACCUGCGACCGUAAUCCGGCGUGGGGACAGUGUUAGGCGGGUAGUUUGACUGGGGCGGUCUCCUCCUAAAAGGUAACGGAGGAGUGCAAAGGUACCCUCAGUGCGUUUGGCAACCGCACAGCGAGCGUAAAGGUAGAAGGGUGCUUGACUGCGAGACCAAUAAGUCGAGCAGGUACGAAAGUAGGCCUUAGUGAUCCGGUGGUUCCGUGUGGAAGGGCCAUCGCCUAUCAGAUAAAAGGUACUCCGGGGAUAACAGGCUGAUCUCCCCCAAGAGUCCAUAUCGACGGGGAGGUUUGGCACCUCGAUGUCGGCUCAUCGCAUCCUGGGGCUGAAGGCGGUCCCAAGGGUUGGUCUGUUCGCCCAUUAAAGCGGUACGUGAGCUGGGUUUAGACCGUCGCGAGACAGGUCGGUCCCUAUCUGGUGUGGGUGUAGGACAGUUGAGAAGACUCUUUCCUAGUACGAGAGGAUUGGAAAGAACAGUACCUCUGGUGUUCCUGUCAUCGCGCUAGCGGUGCUUGCAGGGUAGCCAUGUAUGGAAAGGAUAACCGCUGAAAGCAUCUAAGCGGGAAGCCAACUUCAAGACGAACUGUCCCAUGAGACGCGUGGAAGACUACCACGUUGAUAGGCCGGCGGUGUAAGUGCAGUGAUGCACUCAGCUUACCGGUACUAACCAGUCGAUCGGCUUGACCCU
rnacentral:rRNA from 1 species